GCAUUCGAUACGGGCGAGCUUGAGUAUGGUAGGGGAGUCUGGAAUUCCUGGUGUAGCGGUGGAAUGCGCAGAUAUCAGGAGGAACACCAAUGGCGAAGGCAGGACUCUGGGCCAUUACUGACACUGAGGAGCGAAAGCGUGGGGAGCGAACAGGAUUAGAUACCCUGGUAGUCCACGCCGUAAACGGUGGGCACUAGUUGUGGGGACCUUCCACGGUCUCUGCGACGCAGCUAACGCAUUAAGUGCCCCGCCUGGGGAGUACGAUCGCAAGAUUAAAACUCAAAUGAAUUGACGG
rnacentral:rRNA from 1 species